AGAGUUUGAUCCUGGCUCAGAAUCAACGCUGGCGGCGCGCUUAACACAUGCAAGUCGAGCGAGAAAGUGGAGCAAUCCAUGAGUAAAGCGGCGUACGGGUGAGUAACACGUGGAUCAUCUACCUUUUAGUGGGGAAUAACCCUGGGAAACCGGGGAUAAUACCGCAUAAUCCUGUGAAGGGAAAGCAGCAAUGCGCUGAAAGAGGAGUCCGCGGCCGAUUAGCUAGUUGGUGAGGUAAUGGCUCACCAAGGCGACGAUCGGUAGCCGGCCUGAGAGGGCACACGGCCACACUGGCACUGAAAUACGGGCCAGACUCCUACGGGAGGCAGCAGUGGGGAAUCUUGCACAAUGGAGGAAACUCUGAUGCAGCGACGCCGCGUGAGCGAUGAAGCCCCUCGGGGUGUAAAGCUCUUUCGGCAGGGACGAUAAUGACGGUA
rnacentral:rRNA from 1 species